UGGUGGAUAUGCAAUUGGAAAAGCAGGCUGACUGUAAAUCAGUUCCUUCGGGUUUGUAGAGUUCGAGUCUCACUCCACCAA
rnacentral:tRNA from 3 species